rnacentral:rRNA from 1 species
AGCAGCCGCGGUAAUUCCAGCUCCAAUAGCGUAUAUUAAAGUUGUUGCAGUUAAAAAGCUCGUAGUUGAAUUUAAGGCCUGAUCAAACGGUCCGCCUUUGGUGAGAACUGUUUUGUGUCGGGUCUAUCCUUCUGGUGAGCUGGUAUGCCCUUUACUGGGUGUGUCAAGGAACCAGGACUAUUACCUUGAAAAAAUUAGAGUGUUUAAAGCGGGCAUAAGCUUGAAUAGAUUAGCAUGGAAUAAUAGAAUAGGACGUUGUGGUUCUAUUUUGUUGGUUUCUAGGACCACCGUAAUGAUUAAUAGGGAUAGUUGGGGGCAUUAGUAUUCAAUUGUCAGAGGUGAAAUUCUUGGAUUUAUUGAAGACUAACUACUGCGAAAGCAUUUGCCAAGGAUAGUUUUCAUUAAUCAAGAACGAAAGUUAGGGGAUCGAAGACGAUCAGAUACCGUCGUAGUCUUAACCAUAAACUAUGCCGACUAGGAAUCGGGCGACGUUAUUUCAUGACUCGCUCGGCGCCUAUGG